CUUGUCCCCCAUCCAGGUAUUCCAAUAGUCUGAAUGAGGGCUAAGAGACACUGGAGGAAGAAGAUGAAGAAGAAGGCCAUGAAGUUGAACGAGCUGUCGGCUCUGUGAAGAAAGGACUACGUUGGAUGCGAUGUGCGGAAGAACUGUCGACAAACCAAUGCAAGAAUGAAGCAUCCUAGAAUCACAACGCAUGAGUGUGUUCGAGCCUCCCCGAGCACCAACUGUUGUUCUCACUGAUGACAUGCAGACUCACACAGCAGUCUGAAGUACAUCAUCUGCACCCUGUGAAAGGUGGUUCUCUCUUGCUGGUCAUGUUGUUCAGAAGAAGAAAGGUUCUUCAUCAUCUGAACAUUACUU